rnacentral:lncRNA from 1 species
AAGUAGACACAAUUAAACAUGAAGGAUUGUGAAGGCAAAAGAUGAACCAGCCAGCUGUAGUCUCUGGAUGCAUAAGCUCCAAGUGUGGAGGAGACCCGGAGAGAAAAGCAGACUGUUCUCUCUGUUUACCUGUAAACACAGGCCGCAACCUACCAUGCUGUUUUUAAAUGCCCAAGGGCUGGUGACAAGAGGGUUUCCCUUUGCCAUCUGGACCUGACUGCCUUAGAGGUAAAGAUUCAAUACCCUUAAGAAGUUAGAUUCUAAAAGAUUAUAAAUUGGUGCCAUUGCUUUUGAUUGCAAUUGAUCAAUUUCCGGAUAGAGAUUGCACAAUCCAUGAAGACACACAACACUCUCAGAAGUCACUGCUCCAUGCUGUGCCCUCAUCCCUGCCUGCGAGCUCGGUAUCUCUACCUCCCACCUUGCUAACCAGCACCUCUGCCUUCACUCAGGGCGCUCAGGGCAUAGGUGUAAGCCACUCAAAAACAGUUCUUGAAAUCUCAAGUUCAAUACUGGCCUCCUAAAUCCUAGCGAUUCCCAGAGGAGUGAGAGGUGGGAGGUGGCAAGGAUG